rnacentral:rRNA from 1 species
GACGAACGCUGGCGGCGUGCCUAACACAUGCAAGUCGAACGGAACUGUUUUGAAAGCUUUCUUCGGAAUGAAUUUGAUUUCGUUUAGUGGCGGACGGGUGAGUAACGCGUGAGUAACCUGCCUUCAAGAGGGGAAUAACAUUCUGAAAAGAAUGCUAAUACCGCAUGACAUAUCGGAACCACAUGGUUUUGAUAUCAAAGAUUUUAUCGCUUGAAGAUGGACUCGCGUCCGAUUAGUUAGUUGGUGAGGUAACGGCUCACCAAGACCGCGAUCGGUAGCCGGACUGAGAGGUUGAACGGCCACAUUGGGACGGAGACACGGCCCAGACUCCUACGGGAGGCAGCAGUGGGGGAUAUUGCGCAAUGGGGGCAACCCUGACGCAGCAACGCCGCGUGAAGGAUGAAGGUUUUCGGAUUGUAAACUUCUUUUAUUAAGGACGAAAAAUGACGGUACUUAAUGAAUAAGCUCCGGCUAACUACGUG